rnacentral:rRNA from 1 species
UACGUAGGUGGCGAGCGUUGUCCGGAUUUACUGGGCGUAAAGCGCGCGUAGGUGGUUCGUUAAGUUAGGAGUGAAAGCCCCGGGCUCAACCUGGGAAUUGCUUCUAAAACUGGCGAGCUAGAGUAUGGUAGAGGGUGGUGGAAUUUCCUGUGUAGCGGUGAAAUGCGUAGAUAUAGGAAGGAACAUCAGUGGCAAAGGCGACCACCUGGACUGAUACUGACACUGAGGUGCGAAAGCGUGGGGAGCAAACAGGAUUAGAUACCCCCGUAGUCCCUGAG